GGUAGCGUGGCUGAGCGGUCUAAGGUACUGGGUUAAGGCUCCAGUCUCUUUGGGGGCGUGGGUUCAAAUCGCAUUGUUGCCA
rfam:TPA: Bos taurus chromosome 14, whole genome shotgun sequence.